GAGUUUGAUUAUGGCUCAGAUUGAACGCUGGCGGCAUGCUUUACACAUGCAAGUCGAACGGCAGCACGAGUGCUUGCACUUGGUGGCGAGUGGCGAACGGGUGAGUAAUGCAUUGGAACGUGCCUUGUAUUGGGGGAUAACUGAGCGAAAGCUUAGCUAAUACCGCAUACGCCCUGAGGGGGAAAGCUGGGGAUCGUUUGACCUGGCGAUAUAAGAGCGGCCAAUGUCUGAUUAGCUAGUUGGUGAGGUAAAGGCUUACCAAGGCGACGAUCAGUAGCGGGUCUGAGAGGAUGAUCCGCCACACUGGGACUGAGAGACGGCCCAGACUCCUACGGGAGGCAGCAGUGGGGAAUUUUGGACAAUGGGGGGAACCCUGAUCCAGCCAUGCCGCGUGUCUGAAGAAGGCCUUCGGGUUGUAAAGGACUUUUGUUGGGGAGCAAAGGUAUCUGGUUAAGAUGCUGGAGAUU
rnacentral:rRNA from 1 species